rnacentral:rRNA from 1 species
ACAGCUCAAAUUUGAAAGCUGGCUCUUUUAGGGUCCGCGUUGUAAUUUGUAGAAGAUGCUUCGGGUGUGGCCCCGGUCUAAGUUCCUUGGAACAGGACGUCAUAGAGGGUGAGAAUCCCGUAUGUGACUGGGUGCUUUCGCUCAUGUGAAGCUCUUUCGACGAGUCGAGUUGUUUGGGAAUGCAGCUCAAAAUGGGUGGUAAAUUCCAUCUAAAGCUAAAUAUUGGCGAGAGACCGAUAGCGAA